GCAAAGGGAAGUGUAAAAAGGAAAUGGACAGUGAGAUGAGUGACCAGGAAGUGAAGAAGAAGAAAACAGGGAAAGGGAAAAGAACCAAGCAAACGCGAGUGAGACCAGUGAGCAUUGAGCAGGAAGAGAACCAACAAGAAGGGGCAGGAGUACACUGACGCGCACGACCAAGACCACAGCAUUCCAUUUCUAUUCCAUCCAUCCAUCCAUCUUCUUCCGCUUAUCCGAGGUCGGGUCGCGGGGGCAGCAGCCUAAGCAGGGAAGCCCAGACUUCCCUCUCCCCAGCCACUUGGUCCAGCUCUUCCUGUGGGACCCCGAGGCGUUCCCAGGCCAGCCGGGAGACAGUCUUCCCAACGUGUCCUGGGUCUUCCCCGCGGCCUCCUACCGGUCGGACGUGCCCUAAACACCUCCCUAGGGAGGCGUUCGGGUGGCAUCCUGACCAGAUGCCCGAACCACCUCAUCUGGCUCCUCUCGAUGUGGAGGAGCAGCGGCUUUACU